rnacentral:lncRNA from 1 species
AUGAAGCUUCCUGAUGGAUGGCGAGCUGUGCCCCCGUGUGGAGAGGGCCACGGGCUUUCCUGGCUGGGCACUGCGCAGCUCCAUCUGUGCCAAGCAACGAGCGGCUUCUUCCUGUGGGAGGACUUGUCUUCAGCUGCUGUUUACCCAAAUAACCCCACGCUUCAUUUGGUACCAAAAGAAACCAGACGGCUGGUCACCGUCCUUUCAUUUUUCCUUCAGGAGGAAAGCAAUUCGGUGAGGAAUGCCACGAUCCCUAGAAUCAUCCCUGCCACAAGGAGAUCCACGGCUGCAAAGCAACAGCCACACAUGACAGGAUCCCAGAUUCCUCUCCUCACUCCUGCCUGCUUCUCCUGAGCACCUUCACCACCACACAAGAUAUUUCAAGGUCCUUCAGCACCUCAAAGCUGUGAAGUUGUUUAUACCUUUGCAGCACUCAGGAGCCUCAACUGACUGGAGCCCGGUGCUAACUCAAGCCUGGCAGACCCAUGACACCCAGACCUUGCCCCAAACCUUUGUGCCCACGAAGAGCUAUGCACUGGUGUUGCACGUGCUGCGGUUUGCAACCAGCAAGGAUUUUGCCAGAGAGAAGCUGCUCAGGAAAAGCAGAGGAGCAAGGCAAGUUUCUUUAUACAGCUGCUGCCUAAGGAGUUAAUCGAAACGGAAAACCACUAAAUAUGGUGCACAGCUCAUGUUUGUGUUGCAUCUUUUUUUAGCUGCUAUUUAGUUGCCUGGUUUCAGCCCACAAGGCACGGCGAGCUGCGCUGCUUGCAAGGGGCAGCACCCCUCCGUGUUGGACGGGGGAACUACACGGGCCCGAGGCCAGCGGAAAGGCAGGAGCCCUGCAGUGCUACAUCCUCACCCCACCGCCCUGGAAGUCAAAAACCACCUAGAAAAGCCUGACAGGAACAUCUCCCUUCUCCUCCUCUUGGAGCUGGCCCCAGCAGGGUAACACAGUUGAGGAGCCCUCAAUACACUGCAAUGCAAAGAAACCCAGCGCCCAUCAUCACGGGACUCUCUUGUUCUUUCCAUGGCAAACACGAUGGGAUAAACCUUAUGCUUAUGCUUACUUUCCUUUCUACUCCAAAAAAUAGCCCUACCCCCUCCUAAAAUAAGGAGCCAUAGAAAGAUCUUGGUGAAGAUAUAUAUAUAUAUAAACAUAAACAUAUAACCAGUGUGUAUAUAUAUAUAAACUAUAUAUAAAUAUAUAUAGUAUAUAUAUACACCAUUUAUAUAGUAUAUAUAUGAAUAUAUAUAGUGUACAUAUACACUAUAACAACAUUUUUUAAAAUUAAUUUUCCCAUGAGAUCUGUUCAUCUUUAAAAACAAAAAAAAUCUGCAUCACCUUUUCCCCAGU